rnacentral:lncRNA from 1 species
UUUUGAUUGCAAAAUAUUCCAUCCUCUUCUUGAUUCUACCUUUCUAAACUAUCUGCAAUUUCUCAAACACCAAAAAAGAAAGAACGAGGAGGGGAGAGUCAACAAUUGAAGAUAGAAAGAAAAGGAGAAAGAUGAAGAAUGAGUUAACAAUUGCUUCGUAGAUGUCGUACCUUUUUUUUUGUCAAGUAGUCUAGUGGCUAGAGCUCACACAAUUUAAUUGUGGAGAAGUGGAGUGUCCGGGGUUCGAACCCUGACUCCUGCAUAUAAUAUGUAAUAUCCCUACCAACUGAGCUAAGCUCAUGGGGAUGUAGAUGUCGUAC